rnacentral:rRNA from 1 species
AUUGAACGCUGGCGGAAUGCUUUACACAUGCAAGUCGAACGGUAGAGGGGGCAACCCCUCGAGAGUGGCGAACGGGUGAGUAAUAUAUCGGAACGUGCCCAGUCGUGGGGGAUAACGUAGCGAAAGUUACGCUAAUACCGCAUACGAUCUAAGGAUGAAAGCGGGGGAUCGCAAGACCUCGCGCGAUUGGAGCGGCCGAUAGCAGAUUAGGUAGUUGGUGGGGUAUAGGCUCACCAAGCCAACGAUCUGUAGCUGGUCUGAGAGGACGACCAGCCACACUGGAACUGAGACACGGUCCAGACUCCUACGGGAGGCAGCAGUGGGGAAUUUUGGACAAUGGACGCAAGUCUGAUCCAGCCAUUCCGCGUGCAGGAUGAAGGCCCUCGGGUUGUAAACUGCUUUUGUACGGAACGAAAAGGUCUCUCUUAAUACGGGGGGCUCAUGACGGUACCGUAAGAAUAAGCACCGGCUAACUACGUGCCAGCAGCCGCCGCAG